CGCAGGCGGUUUGUUAAGUCAGAUGUGAAAUCCCCGCGCUUAACGUGGGAACUGCAUUUGAAACUGGCAAGCUAGAGUCUUGUAGAGGGGGGUAGAAUUCCAGGUGUAGCGGUGAAAUGCGUAGAGAUCUGGAGGAAUACCGGUGGCGAAGGCGGCCCCCUGGACAAAGACUGACGCUCAGUUGCGAAAGCGUGGGGAGCAAACAGGAUUAGAUACCCUGGURGUCCACGCUGUAAACGAUGUCGACUUGGAGGUUGUGCCCUUGAAGA
rnacentral:rRNA from 1 species